AUGGUUGAACCUGGUGGACUGCGUAUCAUUGGUGAUGAUGACAUGACUGAAGAGGAGAUGCGAGUUUAUGAUGAAGAACAAAGAAAGAUUGAUGUGUAUGAAAAGGAAAAGAAGGAGAUGGAGGAACGACCUACAAGAAGACAGAUACAGAAAAGAUCACGGAUGUGGGAUCACUUUUCAGAGGUACUAGUUGGUCGUGUUCUCAAGUUUGGAAAGUGCAAGUAUUGCAAUCGUGAUAUCAAGGCCGUCCCAGAGAUUAACGGUACAUCUGCAUUAAACAGUCAUUUUAGUACUUGCAAGUAUAAUCCUCAUAAUGAUAAGAAUAAGAAUCGAGGUACUUUGCAAGUUAUCCAAGGGGAAAGUCCUUCAGUGCAUAAAUUUGAUCCUGAAGCACUAAGGAAAGUUAUUGCUAAGAUGAUUAUAGUAGAUGAGCUUCCAUUCACAUUUACUGAAAAAGCUGGUUUUAGAGAAGUGAUGUCAAUUGCAUGUCCACGUUUCAAUAUGCCUUCUAGAAGAACAUGCACUAGGGAUGUUGUGAAGCUUUAUUUUGAAGAGAGAGCAAAGCUGAAACUUUUUUCCAAACAAUAA
rnacentral:rRNA from 1 species